AUUGAACGCUGGCGGUAUGCUUAACACAUGCAAGUCGAACGGCAGCAUGGUCUAGCUUGCUAGACUGAUGGCGAGUGGCGGACGGGUGAGUAACGCGUAGGAAUAUGCCUUGAAGAGUGGGACAACUUGGGGAAACUCAAGCUAAUACCGCAUGUACUCGAGAGAGUAAAGCUGGGGACCUUUAGGCCUGCGCGUUAAGAUUAGCCUGCGUCCGAGUAGCUAGUUGGUUGGGAAAAGGCCUACCAAGGCGACGAUCGGUAGCUGGUCUGAGAGGAUGAUCAGCCACACUGGAACUGAGAGACGGUCCAGACUCCUACGGGAGGCAGCAGUGGGGAAUAUUGGACAAUGGGGGGAACCCUGAUCCAGCAAUGCCGCGUGUGUGAAGAAGGCCUGAGGGUUGUAAAGCACUUUCAGUGGGGAGGAGGUUUGGAAGGUUAAGAGCUAUUCAAAUGGACGUUACCCACAGAAGAAGCACCGGCUAACUCCGUGCCAGCCGCCGCCGUAA
rnacentral:rRNA from 1 species